rnacentral:lncRNA from 1 species
GAAAGCAAAAGGGAUGCCGGUGGUGGCAGAUGCUUCCUCCUGGCCAAAUCCCAAAUCCCACCCUCAGCACCCACACCCUGAGCAGUGGGCAGGAGAGGCCUGAAAACGUCUGUACAAAUGGCUUCCGAGAAGCCCUGGAGAUAAAGGAGCCAGAGGCAGCCACACAUGGUUCCCAGAAGCUGAAUGCUGCGCAGACGACAGGAAUGACUUCACCCAUCCUGCUUCCACCCGCCAUAGCAGUGACCAAAGCAGCACUGGGACCACAGCUGAGCACCUCAGAAGAUAAGUCCUGGGGUGAUUCUUGUCAUCUCCGUGAAAAGGAGAAGACAAAAAGGCAGAGGCUGCUGCUUGAGGAUCCCUUCACCUGGGCUGCAUAGCUCACCCAUGCUGACCAACUUCCCCAUUUCAAGCUUCAGACUCACAGCCGCGCUAGUUAGGGUACCACUUGUUCAGACAGCUGUUUUCAUUCACAUCUCCAAAGGUCCUCUACCUUAGAAGAAGAAAGAAAGAGGGAAAGAGAAAUAAAAGAGAUUAAUUAAGAACACUGGGGCCAGGCGCAGUGGCUCACACCUGUAAUCCCAGCACUUUGGGAGGCUGAGGCAGGCGGAUCACCUGAGGUCAGGAGUUGGAGACCAGCCUGGCCAACGUGGCAAAACCCCAUCUCUACUAAAAAUACAAAACUUAGCCAGGCAUGGUGGUGGGUACCUGUAAUCCCAGUUACUUUGGAGGCUGAGGCAGGAGGAUGGCUUGAACCUGGGAGGCAGAGGUUGCAGUGAGCCGAGAUCAUGCCAUUGCACUCCAGCCUGAGUGACAAGAGACUCUGUCUCAAAAAUAAAAACAAAAAACAAAAAAACAAAAUCACACACAUCUGAACCCGCAGUUUCAUAAAUGGUAAAUAAAAAUGCCAUGCACCACGAAUCAGAAAUAACGUGGCUCUGGGUUGGCGUCUCUCCCCCACCAACCAGGGAACGAAUGCACCCCUUCGCCAGGGGCAGCAGAGAGAGGUGGCUCUGUCUUCCUGCCUGCAUCCUCCUGUUUCAUCAUCCAGGUUCUGUGUGGCCCAGCGGCCUGGGGCUCUUUUGUUUGCCCCCUCCCUGCCCUCCAUCAGGGGUGCCUAAUGGGGCUCCCGAGUGCUCUUCCACUGUCAUCUAUCCCCCUCCUUUGUGUCCUGAGCCCUCCACGAGCUCAUGUGUGAGCUUGAAGAUCAGACACCACAGACACUCUUCCCCACUCUGCCUCAGCUGCCAAACCCGGAGAAGGAAGGACGGAUCAGACACCAAGACAGAAAAACAGAGUACCUGAGAAAGGCAGAGAGCUGUCUCCUGCCUCAGCCCCCAGAGGCCCGUGUGCCCCUCACUUCCCUCCUUUGAUUCCCACCAUCUGGGGUCUACCUCUGAAUUGACAAACUCUUGCUCGGUCACAUCUGGUUCAAGAGAAAGAAACAAGGAGUUUGGAAACCUAAACUAAUAGGCAGCACUUGGCACGCACAAUAGAAGCAGCUGCUGUUUAUAGCCCUUUUUAAGGGUGGCCUCAGGCCGGACCUCACACUUCCCUCCCUGUGGGGCAUUGUUUUACACAGAGCAUCUGCAACCUCACAAUCUUGCAACUCAAAAAAAAAGAAAAAGAAAAUUCAUGCAUCCCAUGAAUCUAUGAAGCUAUAACAAAUUCUCUUUCCUGGGAAAACUUCCCAGGCCUGCUCCUAUUUCCCUCUCAGAGUAAGGCAGGUCCAUAUGGUUCCUAAUGCCUCAAUUUCUCUAUCCAUUAAGUGGGAAUAUAAAAUCAGCCAGUCAGCUAUCCAGUUAAAAUGCUAUCCCGGCCAGGCGCGGUGGCUCAUACCUGUAAUCCCAGCACUUUGGGAGACCGAGGCGGGCAGAUCAUGAGGUCAGGAGAUCAAGACCGUUCUGGCUAACACGGUGAAACCCCGUCUCUACUAAAAAUACAAAAAAAAAAAAAAAUUAGCCCGGUGUGGUGGCAGGUGCCUGUAGUCACAGCUACUUGGGAGGCUGAGGCAGGAGAAUGGCGUGAACCCGGGAGGCGGAGCUUGCAGUGAGCUGAGAUCGCACCACUGCACUCCAGCCUGGGCGAAAGAGAGAGACUCCAUCUCAAAAAAAAAAAAAAAAAAAAAUGCUAUCCCAUGAAGGCUUUUCCUAAAUAACAGCCUACGAAGUUUGAAACACUUCCAAUGUCUAAACUGGGGGAAAAAAUCAGCAUGAAUUCAGGUUGUCAGUUCAAGACUAAUACCACAUUGCAGAAGAGGCAAGUAGCAAGGCCCAUCCUGCUUGGUAUUGUGAUCCAUGCCUCUUUUCUGACCCCAGGGUUUCUUUCCCCUGGUCUUGUACCCAUAGAAACAAGCGUGGACUUGGCAGGCAGGAGGAAUCAUCAGACUCCAUCAGCACCCUUCCAAUCCCCAUCCUUGAUUUCAGACACCUGAGCAGGCUCCAUUGGGCAAGGUGGCGCCUAAUUACCUCCCUUCUGUUUUUUUCCUCCUCUCCUCUCUUGCCUUCUUCCCUCCCCACCCCCUCAGAGGACAGCCUUUCCAAGAAAUAACACACACACGCACACCUGGCACGGUGAGAUAGGGAAGCUCACCAUGGAUACCGGGCUACCAUUCCCACUCCGGCAGCGGCUCCUGGGAAUAAGUAACUAUCUCUAGAAUGCUAGAAACUCCAGAUGUGCACCGACUAGUGCCUUGAGACCCAGCAUCCCUGUCUCAUUAUGCAUAUUUUUUUCCACAAGUUUCAUAUAUGCAUAUCAAGCUUUCAGAAGGGGAAAAAAUUGGAAAUGGUAAUCUUCCUUUUAUUAUGCUACCACAUGCCAGCCCCGAACAGCUGUGCACACACAACAUGUUGGACUGGACAUGAAAUAUAGCCCACGACCAUUUUUUAAGCAUUCAUUCCCAGGACUUACAAAACACAUUUACUUGGAGGGAGGUCACACAGUCUUCCUUCUGCAUAAAAAGGUGGCUUUGAAAUAGGUACAGCCAUCUGGAAACAGCCUCCUCUGCUAUUGAUAUGUAAAAUGCACAUAUUACACCAUCUUGCUCAGGAGCAUGCAGCAGGAGGCUGAGACACACACAGGCCGUAAUUGUUUAAAUAUACAGGCCUCUGGGUCUCUGCAGGGCUUACCUUGCUCUGAAAAACCAUUUGCCAGCAGCGUAGGUGACUCUGAACAGGCCGGGGAGGCAAUUUGCUCACAGGGGCAUUCAUCUGUGUGCAGGAGGACUGUCCUAGAGCCCAGGUUUGAGAGAAAUUUUUUCAACACUCCACUGCUGCUCCAAGCUUGCUAAUAAGAAUGUCUCAGGUGCAUGACUAAAAGUAGGCAGCAAACACACUAUCAAAAUAAUGACCCCAGCUCUUUUGCUCAUUAUAGCCAAGCAUUUGCCUCUCACCCCAAGAAGACUAAGAUCCCACUCUUAAGAAUGGGUUUUGUUCCACAUUUACAGACCAGGAGCAACGAGUCCUAUAUUCCUCACUGAUCUCCACGUAGUCAGGGGGAUGACUGACUCCGUCAGUUUACUAACAUUUGCUCCUUAAAAUUAGCAUCCUCCCCCUCAGGAGUAUUUUCAUUGCCAGAGCUUUUCC